CAAGCCUCGACACAGUGCUUCUGAAGCAGUUGAUCUUUUUGACACACGCACCGGAGCAUCAGCUUCAAGUGGACCAUCACUACCUCUCACAUCUAAAGCUGAUCAGCAGGAGGAGAAGAGUCUGACGGAGCAGCAGAGGAACAUUUUCAGCUACUUGGACUCAGCUCAGCCACUACAGAGGAAACAAUGAGCUCAACACAGAAGGACCAACAUGGAGCGAGAAGUCAGCGCUCUCAGGAGGCCGACAAACCUCACAGAAGAAAGAGAGAGAAAAAACACACCUGUGACUUGUGUGGAAAGUCUUUUUCCAGGAAGGGUUCUCUAAAAAACCACCAACUCAUCCACAGUGGAGUUAAAGCGUACAGCUGUGAUCAGUGUGGCAGAGCUUUUACUCAAAGUGGUAGCUUACAGAGGCAUCUAGUUACCCACUCUGGAAUUAAGGCAUACAGCUGUGAUGAGUGUGGGAAGGAGUUUACUGAGAAGGCUUCACUAAAACAUCAUCAGGUCAUCCACACUGGAGAGAGACCGUUCAGCUGUGACUUGUGUGGAAAGUCUUUUUCCAGGAAGGGUUCCCUAAAAAACCACCAACUCAUCCACAGUGGAGUUAAAGCGUACAGCUGUGAUCAGUGUGGCAGAGCUUUUACUCAAAGUGGGAGCUUACAGAAUCAUCUAGUUACCCACUCUGGAAUUAAGGCAUACAGCUGUGACAUUUGUGGAAAAACUUUCAGCAAGAGAGGAAACCGAAAUAUACACCGACGCAUUCACAGCAGACAUGAUGUGUACUGCUGUGAUCAGUGUGGCAAAUACUUUGCUACAGACACACAGUUACAACGACACGUUUACCCACACUGAGGGACGACCUUAUAAAUGUGACCUGUGUGAGAAGACUUUUAAAUCUCCACAUUCCCUGAGACGACACCAACAGAUCCACACCAGAAAGAGACUCUACAAGUGCUACUGUGAGAAGCAGAGCGACACAGAUGGAUCCAGUUCACAACCCUGUCAUCGCUGUGGUGGUGGGAAAGACUUUCGUUGUGACAUCUGUGGAAAAACUUUCAGUCAGCAAGCCGGCCUAAAAAUACAUCAACGUAGACACACUGGAGACAAACUGAAAUACUGCAAAGAAUGUGGGAGAAGCUUCACCACAUCACGUGACUUAAAAAAACAUGAACUGAUUCACAGUGGGGUUAAAAAGCACCUCUGUGAUCAGUGUGGGUCAUCCUUCACCACUGCGUGGGGGCUUAAAACACACAAACGAGUCCACACAGGAGAGAAACCGUACAAGUGCAGACACUGUGACAAAAGCUUCUCACACUCAAAUGGUCGUAACGAUCAUGAACGUGCACACGUGGAAGGAAACUACAGCUGUGACCAGUGUGACAAGAGCUUCAGGAAUCUCAGUUCAUACUCCAAACACAAACGAUCCCACGUUACUAAUAAACUGUUUCACUGUUACCAAUGUGCCCAAACAUUCACCUCAUUGUCUGCUCUGUGCAAACAUCAGCGUGAUCACUCAGGGCUGAAAUCACUCCCAUCACAGUGAAUCUGAAGAGACAGAAAGAUCCUCUGGUUUCAGUGUCAGACUCAAAAAGCUUGAGAUCAGGCUCCACAGAGUUCAGAUAGAAUCAUUUAAACUUGUGUUGAACUGAACUGGUUGCUGGGCUGAACUUCUACAUAAUACAGAUUUACAUGGGAUCUUAUUUUCUGUCGUUUUACUGAGUCAGUUUUGUCCUUUUUUCUCUGUCCUGGUUUUGCUCGUCUGUAAAUAAUUGAAACUCAGUCAAAUAGUUCAUUGUUCUCCAGUAAAACGUUUUGGAAACUCAUGUUUAACCUUUAAAUCUCUGACAUGUUUUAGCACACAAGGCUUCAUCGGGGAGUUCACUUAUGAUUG